GUCUAGGACCCCUGGGUGGUCGCGCAGAUCCCGGACGAGCCCCCAAAUGAAAGACCCCCGAAGGGAGUCCCCCCACUCAAGUCUCGGGAAAGACGCGCACCCAGUAGGACACAGACACCG
rnacentral:pre_miRNA from 14 species